rnacentral:rRNA from 1 species
AGAGUUUGAUCCUGGCUCAGGAUGAACGCUGGCGGUAUGCUUAACACAUGCAAGUCGAACGAAAUCUUCGGAUUUAGUGGCGGACGGGUGAGUAACGCGUGAGAAUCUGGCUCUAGGUCUGGGACAACCACUGGAAACGGUGGCUAAUACCGGAUGUGCCCUUGGGUGAAAGGUUAACUGCCUAGAGAUGAGCUCGCGUCUGAUUAGCUAGUAGGUAGUGUAAUGGACUACCUAGGCGACGAUCAGUAGCUGGUCUGAGAGGACGAUCAGCCACACUGGGACUGAGACACGGCCCAGACUCCUACGGGAGGCAGCAGUGGGGAAUUUUCCGCAAUGGGCGAAAGCCUGACGGAGCAAUACCGCGUGAGGGAGGAAGGCUCUUGGGUCGUAAACCUCUUUUCUCAGGGAAGAACACAAUGACGGUACCUGAGGAAUAAGCAUCGGCUAACUCCGUGCCAGCAGCCGCGGUAAUACGGAGGAUGCAAGCGUUAUCCGGAAUGAUUGGGCGUAAAGCGUCCGCAGGUGGCAAUGUAAGUCUGCUGUUAAAGAGUCUAGCUCAACUAGAUAAAGGCAGUGGAAACUACAUAGCUAGAGUACGUUCGGGGCAGAGGGAAUUCCUGGUGUAGCGGUGAAAUGCGUAGAGAUCAGGAAGAACACCGGUGGCGAAGGCGCUCUGCUAGGCCGUAACUGACACUGAGGGACGAAAGCUAGGGGAGCGAAUGGGAUUAGAUACCCCAGUAGUCCUAGCCGUAAACGAUGGAUACUAGGCGUGGCUUGUAUCGACCCGAGCCGUGCCGUAGCUAACGCGUUAAGUAUCCCGCCUGGGGAGUACGCCGGCAACGGUGAAACUCAAAGGAAUUGACGG